CCUACGGGUGGCAGCAGUGAGGAAUAUUGGUCAAUGGACGAGAGUCUGAACCAGCCAAGUAGCGUGAAGGAUGAGUGCCCUAUGGGUUGUAAACUUCUUUUAUAUGGGAAUAAAAUGUUCCACGUGUGGGAUUUUGUAUGUACCAUAUUAAUAAGGAUCGGCUAACUCCGUGCCAGCAGCCGCGGUAAUACGGAGGACACGAGCGUUAUCCGGAUUUAUUGGGUUUAAAGGGAGCGUAGGUGGAUUGUUAAGUCAGUUGUGAAAGUUUGCGGCUCAACCGUAACAUUGCAGUUGAAACUGGCAGUCUUGAGUACAGUAGAGGUGGGCGGAAUUCGUGGUGUAGCGGUGAAAUGCUUAGAUAUCACGAAGAACUCCGAUUGCGAAGGCAGUUCACUGGACUGCAACUGACACUGAGGCUCGAAAGUGUGGGUAUCAAACAGGAUUAGAUACCCUAGUAGUC
rnacentral:rRNA from 1 species